CAUGCGUAGUUUUCUUUUUUCGUUCUGUACGACCCAACUCGUCUCCCGGGGUUUCUAGGGAUGUGCGGCGUUCUCUUUGCAAGGUCAGUUUAUGCAGGUGCUCGCGAAGAGAUUACCGCAGGUUCCUCAAGCUAACUGCUAUGGAGAGCAGCACUCACAGGCUCUCUUUGUGCAAACCCUGUCUGGGACUCAGGCGUUGUGCCCACAUCCUGGACUGGAUCCACUCUUCGACUUUCUGGAGAAAGUGAAGUUCUCUUUCUAAACAAGAAUUAAAACAAAUAAGCCUACACUGUGUAAGAGAUUGUCUCUGGAAGCUAAACAGUAACAUCUACACAGAAAUGAUACUGCACAAGUAAGCAACAAUCAAGAAGAAAAGCACAGAGAUAAAAAGGAUGGCCUCUUAGAAUUACAGAUAGAAACAAGUAAAGAGCAACCAGAGAGCAAGAAGCCUUUCCAGACCCUGGCAACCACCAUUCUCCUUUCUGCUUCUAUGAGUUUGGCCCUUUCAGAUACCUCAUAUGGAGUCUCACAUGGAGUCAAGGAGUACAACAUGUUCUAAAGCAGAGGACUGCAGAGUAACAGUGACUGGAGAAUUUUAUGGGGCCUCUUCUUCUUCCAGUCCUAGCCCUUGGGAUAAGAUAACUCAGACUUCCUACUGCCUAUUCCCAGUCUAUACAACUUACAGGUCCUGAGGCUUAAACAGCAGUCACUUUUCUCUGCGGUGCUGCCGUUGGUGUGUGGUCCCUCCCCCUGUGAUCUUACUUUCAAGAGAUAAGUGAAUUAAGAUGUCAAGACAUGGGAUGUGCUUCACAGAAACUAUACCUGUGCUAGAGGGUAUCAACUCUCCACAAUUCUUGAACUGUAUAAGUCACUCUACCUUCCUAUGGGGAGAUCAUGGUCAGGGUCUACACUGGGCCUGGAGAGAUGUGCCCCCAGCCUGCCUAUGCCCUAUAAAGACAAGAGAAGCUGAGACUACGGUAUUUCCUUAAUGCUUUGAUUUAACAGUUCAAGUUCUGAAAAUCAAUCCUAAGAAAAUAACCAGGGAUGUGAUCAAGAUUUAAGCAUAAAUGUAUUUGCCUUAAUUUUACCUGUAAUAGUGAAAAAUUGAGAGGAUAAACCCUAUUUCCCACCCUAUCCCCCCCAAAAAAAACCCCACCACAAAUGUUUCUGAUCUAAAUAAUUAAUGUAGAGAUAAGGAAAAUACUAUGAGUUUUGCAUAUAUUUUUAAACUUUGCUUGCAGGUGUUUAAAAAAAUCUAAAAGAAAUAAGAUCACAUACAGUCUUUUAUAGCAGGGUGACAAAUGUCUCAUUAGGCAAAGUGCAGGUCGGCAUAAAAAUAAAUGUAAUUUAUACUUGAAUUUUUGUCUGAUCAAAUGACAUAUGUUUUAUUGUCUUAUACUUAUGAGUGAUAUUUAAUUAAAAGCUAGUUGAAUAUUCCAGAUGGCAAUUAUCUUUCAAUAGAGAUGCCAUUUCUGACACAAGGAGGCAGAUGAGCAGAAAGGAGAAUUUGUGUACUUAUUCCUUAGGAGAUGGAAAAAAAGAAACCACACCAAGCAUUGACACACAGAGAGAUUUGUGACGAUCUGCCCUAAAUGCCACUCUUUCCCUUGUUGAGCUUUGCUUACAUGUUCGUCAUUAGGUAAACCAUGUCCAAACUAAAACUGAGGUAGCCAGUAUUCAUUAGUUCACAAAUGCAAUUGUAUAGCCAUUCUUUGAAUCUGAGCCAGGGAGAGGAGUGUAAGCCUCAUUUACUUUCAUUAAUUCAGACACAGAUUAUGUGUAAUAUAGUCUAAGUAAGUGUCCUCUCACACAUGUGGUAGAAGGCAGAAAAACAAACAAAAAAAAACCUCUUAAUCAGAGGACAUUUAGGCAGAAUCUACCAGUUGAUUUUUUUUUUUGUCUUUUUGCCUUUCCUAGGGCCACACCGGCGGCAUAUGGAGGUUCCCAGGCUAGGGGUCGAA